AAUAUCUUUAUUGUGUGACAUUGGUAGUUAAACAUAUUUUAACUACCAAUGUCACACAAUAAAGAUAUUCU
rnacentral:sRNA from 1 species